GGUUCUAUGGUGUAGUGGUUAGCACUUUGGACUUUGAAUCCAACAACCUGAGUUCGACUCUCGGUAGGACCU
rnacentral:tRNA from 2 species